UAUGUCUCACGUGCGGACACAUAUUAUUAUUAUACCUAUCGCUUUCCGCCGUCUCAUUACACUCGUUGCGCACUACACUGUGAUACCGCGCUCCGCGUGUUUUGUACCCGCACUGUACGAUAACAAGAAACGAACCGUUCGUAGUAAACAGUUGACCGUCUUAUUAACGUAAUUUUCGUUCGAAUCGAUAACAGUUAUCGAAUUAAAGUACUGAUCAAAGUCGUACAAAAUACCGAUUAACGUGUACGUUAUCAUUAUCGACACCAUUGCAACGCCUUGAAAACCGACGGUUAAUUGUUUGCACUC